ACCGGGAAGCCCCUGUAUAUGGGGAGAAGGGGCUUUGCUUACUUUCUUUAUGAUAUUGAUAAAAUAUCAGGAUCCCAGUCAAGAAUUCGUGUGACGUAAGUGAAAUAACGUUACUAUAUUUACGAUAACCCUGCCAGCCUUUGAAGCAAGUAAUUGUUAUGACUAUCAUGCCUCUCCUGAACACAGCUGCUAUAUUUAUGUUAUUUGUUGAAUAAUCCACUUCCUUAAUUGACUUUGAUGAUUCAUGUUUGAAUAUCUCCUGAACUACUCCCAUGUCAAGUUGAUUGUACUUUUGCCUGCCAAUGAUAACCUCAAAUUGUCAAUGGCUUACCAGAAGUAGGUCAUUUGCAGUUUAUAUAAUACGUUAUCAUUCUUCUAUCAAGAACCCAGAAAAUUUAAUUUACAUUCUACCAGACACUAACCUAGAGAAGAUACCAUUUAUAACUCAAUAUCAACAAGUCUUUGAUUUAUCAAAAUUCAACAUUCCAAACUUAAAACAGACUUCAGCCAAACAGCGCAGACCAGAACUAAAAGUAGCAGACUCUCGCCUAUUCUACACACCACAGUUGGCUCUUUCUUUUAAUAAUAAUACUAGGCAAUUAGAUAUUCAGUAUUCAAUACUGAGAAAAAUAUUUGAGAUCAUUUCUUUAAUUUACCAUAAGAGUCCAUUGUUGUUGUUAGACAUUGGCUGUGGUACAGGUGUAAGUACUGAAAGUUUCACUUCAAAUAAUUGCCAUUUUAUUGGCACUGACAUUAGUAUGUCAAUGCUAUCUAUGGCUGUGAAAAAGAAGUCUUUGAAGAGUUGUGAUUACCUCCAACUUGACCAUAGUUACAGACUUCCCUUUCGCCCAAAUUGUUUUGAUGUUGUCAUCAGUACUUCAUUUUUACAGUGGUUAUUAGUUACAAAAGAUUCAAAAUGCAUUUUAGGAAGAUUUUAUUCUUUUGUUUCUCACAUUUUAAAACCCAAUGGACAUUUUUUGCUCCAGUUCUAUCCAAGGAACAUUUCAGAUAUUCAGCUAGCCUUGACCUUAUCUGUAGAGGUUUUCCGAGGAGCCUUGUUCUCUUGCAGACCACACCCUAAACGAGGACUGAAACUUUUCUUAUUUCUCUAUAAAGAAGAUAAAUAAUAAACAUAUUUUUAAAACAUCAAAAA
rnacentral:misc_RNA from 1 species